rnacentral:rRNA from 1 species
GACAGAGGGUGCAAACGUUGUUCGGAAUUACUGGGCGUAAAGCGUGUGUAGGCGGCUACGUAAGUCGGAUGUGAAAGCCCCGGGCUCAACCCGGGAAGUGCACUCGAUACUGCGUAGCUUGAGUACCGGAGAGGUUGGCGGAAUUCUCGGUGUAGAGGUGAAAUUCGUAGAUAUCGAGAGGAACACCGGUGGCGAAGGCGGCCAACUGGACGAGUACUGACGCUGAGACACGAAAGCGUGGGGAGCAAACAGG